UACGGGGGGUGCAAGCGUUAUCCGGAUUUACUGGGUGUAAAGGGAGCGCAGGCGGUAUGGCAAGUCAGAUGUGAAAACCCAGGGCUCAACCCUGGGACUGCAUUUGAAACUGCCAUACUGGAGUGCCGGAGAGGUAAGUGGAAUUCCUAGUGUAGCGGUGAAAUGCGUAGAUAUUAGGAGGAACACCAGUGGCGAAGGCGGCUUACCAAACUAUAUCUGACGUUGAGGCACGAAAGCGUGGGGAGCAAACAGG
rnacentral:rRNA from 1 species